rnacentral:rRNA from 1 species
ACAGAGGUCUCAAGCGUUGUUCGGAAUCACUGGGCGUAAAGGGUGCGUAGGCUGCACGGUAAGUCAGAGGUGAAAUCCCGGAGCUCAACUUCGGAAUUGCCUCCGAUACUGCCGUGCUUGAGGACUGGAGAGGAGAUUGGAAUUCACAGUGGAGCAGUGAAAUGCGUAGAUAUUGUGAGGAACACUAGUGGCGAAGGCGAAUCUCUGGACAGUUCCUGACGCUGAGGCACGAAGGCCAGGGGAGCAAACGGGA